AACUCAAAAGUGCAAAACAUGGCAAGGCUGACAGGCAGAGUGUGACAGGUGUCUAGUAGUAUAGUCUCCAAGUGGAUAACUAGAGAAAGCUGUAUCCAUAUUCUUGGUAAGCCAUGUGCGUUCUUCUGGUUGAUGACCUUCAUAAAGGCUGUACCUUUUUACCAGUUCUGUUGCCAAGGAUUAUACUUUCCGCGUAUGCGAGGCUCCGCUAGGGCCAGCAUGACGAAAAAAUCAUCAUCAGUUAUGAUACGCAUCAUCAGUCUGUGUGGACGUCUGCGUACCUCCCGUUUUUUGUCGACUAGUGCUACCAGGGCAACAACCGAUCUACUGCGUAUGUGACAACGUAUCCACCAAGCUGAUUGCAGAAAGUAGUCCACGUCCGCGGGGUCCGCUGCUGUCCGUGUCCGCAUCCACUCCCGAGUAUAUUCGAGACUUAAUUGUGCAGCAGAUGGGAUUGGGGUUAGUACCUCCAAGUCUGAGGCUCCUUUAGUUUGGGAACAAGUUUCUGCCCCAAGAAAAUACCAGGAUUUUGUUCACAAGUGAGGCUAAAGUUGAGUGCAAGAUCAAUUAUAGGGGACUCAAUGAUAUGGUUUAAUAUCUGAGAGACUGAGAGAGAGCCGAGUCUGAAGGGCAUUUGGGCCACAUGGGGUGAGGAGCUAAGACAGUGAGCUCAGACAACGUCCAAAGCUCCAUCGCAUUGGAAGGAACCAGUUGAAGUGGUUGGGACCUCUGGUCAGGAUCCCUUCUGGACAUUUCGUUGUGGAGGCACAUCACUGACAUUAGACCAGUGGGGUGGACCCCAAUCCACACUGGAGGGAUAUCCUACCUGACCUGGGAAUGUCUUGGGAUCCUUCAGGAAGAGCUGGAUAAUUCAGCCAGGGAGAAGGAUGUCUGGACUAUUUUGCUUAAAUCCGAAUAUUUAAUUGACAUCUUAAAUACUGCAUUGAAUUAAAUUAACUGGCACAUAAGUGUAUAGAAAUAGAGCACAUGUUGGUUGGGCCACUGACUUAUUUAUUCUUCUGUCUUUUUGUCUUUCAUAAUAAUUUUUAAUUUCAGCCUGAGCUGUGCUAUCACGCUGAGCGGCAUUCAUUUUAGAUGGAUAGAAAACAUUGUGUUAUCAGGGCUUUUAGCCUUUGUGCAAACAACCCUUUUAAUUAAGACUGUUCAGUUGUGCUCCAAACUCAUAUUUGCAGAGGGUGGGGGUGGGAUGAAAUAGCAAGAAAGGACAAGAGAUACAGAAAAAAAGAACUGAAUAUGACCAGACCCAGCUGUGGUAAAUGUCACAAGGUUCUGAUGCCAGAAAUAUCAAACAGCAUAAAAAAAUUUUUUUUUAAAAAUCAUAAUAAGUAAGAAAAAACACCAUCGCAAUCAGUUUCUUCUCACAAAUGUAAAGACUCAAAUUAUGCAACCAAAACCUAGAUUUGUAAACCACAAGAUUAAGUGACAACACCACAUGGACAACUGGAGUCUGCAGGAUAAAAUAAGUCAU